AAUAAGGUGCCUGACAAAAGGGUUACUUUGAUAGAGUAAAUCAUGUAAGAUA
rnacentral:tRNA from 1 species